GUGCCCGACGACAUCCUCGCUUGCGUCCUUGGCCGUCUCGCGCCGCGCAGCCUCGCCGCGUCCCGCUGCGUCUGCAAAGGCUGGCGCGACGUCAUCGACGGCCGCCGCCUGCUGCGGGCGGACCUCCUCCCGCUUGCGCUCUACGGGAUCUUCUUCAUGGAGAUAGACGUGCUCUGCGGGGGAUGGGCCCUCGGCGCUGCUUGA
rnacentral:rRNA from 1 species